rnacentral:rRNA from 1 species
GGUCAAGUUAAUAAGGGCGCACGGUGGAUGCCUUGGCACUAGGAGCCGAUGAAGGACGUAGGAGGCUGCGAUAAGCCUCGGGGAGCUGUCAACCGAGCAUUGAUCCGAGGAUUUCCGAAUGGGGAAACCCGGCUGGAGUCAUGUCCAGUCACCCAUACCUGAACACAUAGGGUAUGCGGAGGGAACGUGGGGAAGUGAAACAUCUCAGUACCCACAGGAAGAGAAAGCAACCGCGAUUCCGUUAGUAGUGGCGAGCGAAAGCGGAAGAGGCCAAACCAGUUACACGUGAUAGCCGGCAGGCGUUGUGUAUCUGGGGUUGUGGGGCCGCUUAGUAGGUUCUGCCGAAUCUACAAGGAGUAAGAAAACAACGUGGUUAGUCGAAGCGAUUGAAUGUCGCGGCAUAGAGGGUGAAACCCCCGUAGACGAAAACCCGUUGUCUCCUUAGCGUUACCCCAAGUAGCAGCGAGCCCGUGAAAUUCGCUGUGAAUCUGGCGGGACCACCCGCUAAGCCUAAAUACUACCUAGUGACCGAUAGCGGACAAGUACCGUGAGGGAAAGGUUAAAAGCACCCCGGGAGGGGAGUGAAAUAGAUCCUGAAACCGCGCGCCUACAAGCCGUUGGAGCGUCGUUACACGCUUGCGUGUAAUCGUGACAGCGUGCCUUUUGAAGAAUGAGCCUGCGAGUUAGUGGUAUGUGGCGAGGUUAACCCGUGUGGGGAAGCCGUAGCGAAAGCGAGUCUGAAUAGGGCGAAUUAGUCGCAUGCUCUAGACCCGAAGCGAAGUGAUCUACCCAUGGCCAGGUUGAAGCGCGGGUAAGACCGCGUGGAGGACCGAACCCACCAGGGUUGAAAACCUGGGGGAUGAGCUGUGGGUAGGGGUGAAAGGCCAAUCAAACUUCGUGAUAGCUGGUUCUCCCCGAAAUGCAUAUAGGUGCAGCGUCGCGUGUUUCUUGCCGGAGGUAGAGCUACUGGAUAGCCUAGGGGGCUCACAAGCUUACCGAAGUUAGCCAAACUCCGAAUGCCGGUAAGUGAGAGCGCGGCAGUGAGACUGCGGGGGAUAAGCUCCGUAGUCGAGAGGGAAACAACCCAGAACACCAGCUAAGGUCCCCAAGCGUGUGCUAAGUGGGAAAGGAUGUGGAGUCGCACAGACAACCAGGAGGUUGGCUUAGAAGCAGCCACCCUUUAAAGAGUGCGUAAUAGCUCACUGGUCAAGUGAUUCUGCGCCGACAAUGUAACGGGGCUCAAGCACACCACCGAAGCUGUGUCAUUCACGCAAUAUUCUGCUUUCGAGCCAGAAGUGUGGAUGGGUAGGGGAGCGUCGUGUGCCGGGUGAAGCGGCGGGGGAACCCAGCCGUGGACGGCACACGAGUGAGAAUGCAGGCAUGAGUAGCGAAAGAGGAGUGAGAAACUCCUCCGCCGGAUGACCAAGGGUUCCUGGGCCAGGCUAAUCCGCCCAGGGUAAGUCGGGACCUAAGGCGAGGCCGACAGGCGUAGUCGAUGGACAACGGGUUGAUAUUCCCGUACCCGCAAAAGAGCGCCCAUGACGAACUUAGCGAUGCUAAGUGCCCAAAGCCGGACGUUCCUUCGGGAACCGAUGGUUGCGCGCACGAACCGAACUAGUAGUAGUCAAGCGAUGGGGUGACGCAGGAAGGUAGUCGUACCAGUCAGUGGUAAUACUGGAGCAAGGUUGUAGGGCGUUGAGUAGGCAAAUCCGCUCAACAUGUGCCUGAGAACCGACGCAUAGCCGAUUGGGGCGAAUUCGAUGAUCCUAUGCUGCCAAGAAAAGCCUCUAGCGAGCUCUUAGCGGCCCGUACCCCAAACCGACACAGGUGGUCAGGUAGAGAAUACUAAGGCGAUCGAGUGAACCAUGGUUAAGGAACUCGGCAAAAUGCCCCCGUAACUUCGGGAGAAGGGGGGCCGCUUCGCGUGAUCAGGUCUUGCAUCUGAGAGCGCGGGACGGCCGCAGAGACCAGCGAGAAGCGACUGUUUACUAAAAACACAGGUCCGUGCGAAGUCGCAAGACGAUGUAUACGGACUGACGCCUGCCCGGUGCUGGAAGGUUAAGAGGACGGGUUAGCACUUCGGUGCGAGGCUCAGAAUUUAAGCCCCAGUAAACGGCGGUGGUAACUAUAACCAUCCUAAGGUAGCGAAAUUCCUUGUCGGGUAAGUUCCGACCUGCACGAAUGGCGUAACGACUUCUCGACUGUCUCAACCGUGGACUCGGCGAAAUUGCACUACGAGUAAAGAUGCUCGUUACGCGCGGCAGGACGGAAAGACCCCGGGACCUUUACUAUAGCUUGAUAUUGGUGUUCGGUUCGAAUUGUGUAGGAUAGGUGGGAGACUUUGAAGCUCACACGCCAGUGUGGGUGGAGUCAACGUUGAAAUACCACUCUGUUCGAAUUGGAUGUCUAACCUCGGUCCGUAAUCCGGAUCAGGGACAGUGUCAGGUGGGUAGUUUGACUGGGGCGGUCGCCUCCUAAAAUGUAACGGAGGCGCCCAAAGGUUCCCUCAGCCUGGUUGGCAAUCAGGUGUUGAGUGCAAGUGCACAAGGGAGCUUGACUGUGAGACUGACAGGUCGAGCAGGAGCGAAAGCUGGGACUAGUGAUCCGGCACUGGCUUGUGGAAGCGGUGUCGCUCAACGGAUAAAAGGUACCCCGGGGAUAACAGGCUGAUCUUCCCCAAGAGUCCAUAUCGACGGGAUGGUUUGGCACCUCGAUGUCGGCUCGUCGCAUCCUGGGGCUGGAGUAGGUCCCAAGGGUUGGGCUGUUCGCCCAUUAAAGCGGCACGCGAGCUGGGUUUAGAACGUCGUGAGACAGUUCGGUCCCUAUCCGCCGCGCGCGCAGGAGUCUUGAGAAAGGCUGUCCCUAGUACGAGAGGACCGGGACGGACGAACCUCUGGUGUGUCAGUUGUCCUACCAAGGGCACUGCUGAUUAGCUACGUUCGGAAGGGAUAACCGCUGAAAGCAUCUAAGCGGGAAGCUCGUUUCAAGAUGAGGACUCCCAUCCUUUAUGGAGUAAGGCCCCCGGCUAGACCACCGGGUUGAUAGGCCGGAAGUGGAAGUGCAGCAAUGCAUGGAGCUGACUGGUACUAAUAGGCCGAGGACUUGCCACA